UACGGGGGGGGCAAGUGUUCUUCGGAAUGACUGGGCGUAAAGGGCACGUAGGCGGUGAAUCGGGUUGAAAGUGAAAGUCGCCAAAAAGUGGCGGAAUGCUCUCGAAACCCAUUCACUUGAGUGAGACAGAGGAGAGUGGAAUUUCGUGUGUAGGGGUGAAAUCCGUAAAUAUACGAAGGAACGCCAAAAGCGAAGGCAGCGCUCUGGGUCCCUACCGACGCUGGGGUGCGAAAGCGUGGGGAGCGAACAGG
rnacentral:rRNA from 1 species